rnacentral:rRNA from 1 species
GAGCGUAGGUGGCUUGAUAAGUCAGAUGUGAAAUCCCCGGGCUUNNNNUGGGAACUGCAUCUGAAACUGUUAGGCUAGAGUAGGUGAGAGGGAAGUAGAAUUUCAGGUGUAGCGGUGAAAUGCGUAGAGAUCUGAAGGAAUACCGAUGGCGAAGGCAGCUUCCUGGCAUCAUACUGACACUGAGGCUCGAAAGCGUGGGUAGCANACAGGAUUAGAUACCCUGGUAGUCCACGCCGUAAACGAUGUCUACUAGUCGUUGGGUCCCUUGAGGACUUAGUGACGCAGCUAACGCAAUAAGUAGACCGCCUGGGGAGUACGGCCGCAAGGUUAAAACUCAAAUGAAUUGACGGGGGCCCGCACAAGCGGUGGAGCAUGUGGUUUAAUUCGAUGCAACGCGAAGAACCUUACCUGGUCUUGACAUAUCUAGAAUCCUGCAGAGAUGCGGGAGUGCCUUCGGGAAUUAGAAUACAGGUGCUGCAUGGCUGUCGUCAGCUCGUGUCGUGAGAUGUUGGGUUAAGUCCCGCAACGAGCGCAACCCUUGUCCUUAGUUACCAGCGGGUUAAGCCGGGAACUCUAAGGAUACUGCCAGUGACAAACUGGAGGAAGGCGGGGACGACGUCAAGUCAUCAUGGCCCUUACGACCAGGGCUACACACGUGCUACAAUGGUAGGUACAGAGGGCAGCUACACAGCGAUGUGAUGCGAAUCUCNNAAGCCUAUCGUAGUCCAGAUUGGAGUCUGCAACUCGACUCCNUGAAGUAGGAAUCGCUAGUAAUCGCGGAUCANAAUGCCGCGGUGAAUACGUUCCCGGGCCUUGUACACACCGCCCGUCACACCAUGGGAGUUGAUUG